ACUGCGCGGUAAUUCCAGCUCCAAUAGCGUAAAUUAAAGCUGUUGCAGUUAAAACGCUCGUAGUCGGAUUUCGGUGCGGGCCGGCCGGUCUGCCGAUGGGUAUGCACUGGUUGGCGCGUCCUUCCUCCCGGAGACCGCGCCUACUCUUAACUAAGCGGGCGCGGGAGACGGGACGUUUACUUUGAAAAAAUCAGAGUGUUUCAAUCAGGCAGUCGCUCUUGCAUGGAUUAGCAUGGGAUAAUGAAAUAGGAUUCUGGUGCUAUUUUUUUGGUUUCGAACACCGGAGUAAUGAUUAACAGAGACAGUCAGGGGCACUCGUAUUCCGCCGAGAAAGGUGAAAUUCUCAGACCAGCGGAAGACGAACCAAUGCGAAAGCAUUUGCCAGGGAUGUUUUCACUGAUC
rnacentral:rRNA from 1 species